CAGGUGAUUUCUGAAAAUCACAUGGAGAUGAGAGAACGUCACAUGAUCAUAUACUUUUCAUCUGGUUCCUAAAAAACCCAAUCAGUUCCUUAAUUGUGACGGAAACUUGACUUGAAAACCUAAUUUCCUCGUCUCACCCUUUUAGAGUACACAGAUGAUGAAGGUCUCAUUCCUAAAGGAUCCUCUGUCAUCGUCAGGAGAAUCCCCAUUAGCGGAGGGAAGUCAAGCUCAAGCAGCAAAACCAACAACAUUGAGAGUUCAGCCGUCCAGUUUCACCACGCCUGUGGAGCCAUUAAAGCAUAGGAGAAGUGUCUGCCACUCUUCUUAGCACUUUGAGUCCAUCGGACUACACAGACGUUUUUGUGUGUGUGUGAUUUUUCUACCAAUAAAGUUGUUUAUAUGAAGCUGUCUGAUGUAUUGAUUAUGUCUUUGACUUGACAUCAGUACACCACCACAGUCAAUACGUCACCUCAGACAUGACAUGAUGUCUCUGUCAUCAUGGGACAUUUCUGAUCAAUGGAUUUUUCCUUUGCUGUAAAGAGUGAAGACGGAGUAAAUACAGG
rnacentral:lncRNA from 1 species